rnacentral:rRNA from 1 species
GACGAACGCUGGCGGCGUGCUUAACACAUGCAAGUCGAGCGGAGCGGCGAACGGGUGAGUAACGCGUGAGUAACUGCCCCCCUCUCUGGGAUAACAGUUGGAAACGGCUGCUAAUACCGGAUAGUGGGGGAUGACUCGCGUCCUAUUAGCUUGUUGGUGGGGUAGUGGCCUACCAAGGCAACGACGGGUAGCCGGCCUGAGAGGGCAAACGGCCAGAGGGGGCUGAGCAACGGCCCAAACUCAUACGGGAGGCAGCAGUGGGGAAUAUUGCACAGUGGGGGAAGCCCUGAUGCAGCAACGCCGCGUGCGGGAUGAAGGCCUUCGGGUUGUAAACCGCUUUCAGCCAUUACGCGGUAGUGGCAGAAGAAGCACCGGCGAACUACGUGCCAGCAGCCGCGGUAAUU